GGUGAGAUGGCUGAGCGGUCUAAAGCGGCGGUUUGCUAAACCGUUGGCGGGUGACCAAACCCCGUACCG
rnacentral:tRNA from 1 species